rnacentral:lncRNA from 1 species
CCUCCAGAACACCAUGUUUGCCAUGUCUUGGUUCAUCUACACAAUGGCAGAGGACAGGCUCCUUUUCUGAGUCCUUGCCCAGAUCAACACCCGUACACGUACCCACAUCAGGAUCAUCAUGAUUUCUGGAAACCUUGAAGGUAGAUAAACAAAACCCACUGCCUUUGGAUUAUCUUCCUUGGCUUGCAUAUUUCCAGCUGUUUCUCACUCCAUCCCCCCACCUUGUUUAUGCCCUCCUUCUAGGGGUCUUGGCGUUACUCUUCCAUUUCAGUGAUCUGAUGGAUCUCAUGUCACUUCGGUCCCUGCUUGCUAACUUGGUGGUCGAUUUUUCUGCCCUUGUGCUCAGGUGAGACUCCACUCCACCCUGACUGGGGGUCUUUGGCUUGUGGGGAUUGAUGGGGGCUAAUCCUCUCUGCUUCAUGGUGCCUUCUAAAUGUCCUGCUCUGCUUUUGUGGGAAAAGAGAUGGAUUCAGCUGUGUGAUGUUGGGUGAAUAGGGAUUGCUGUUCAUGUUGCCAUCAUACCUCUAAUUCAGGUAUCACUCAGACCAGAAUUUAAGCAAGAACAGAGGAAGAAACUGAGAUGGAGCUUAUAGUCAAAGAAAGGUCUUUGGACUCUGUACUUGAAGCCGACACCUCAAGGAUUUUAAAGAGUCUGUGGUUCUGUCCCAGCACCAUCCCCACCUGGAAAUCUGGCCAGAUUGUCUAUGGAUGUGCCUUCCUGCUUGCUGAGCAGUGGGACUUCUCUUUGGUGAUAUUCUGAAAUUGCCAGGAUGGAUAGGAAUGUAUAUUUGUCUAUUGAGUCUUGGAAAUACGAUGUCCGUUCCUGAUGUGGGUAGCCUAGGGAAGGGUGUGACCCGAAUCCUGACAUCUUUGUCUUCCAGGUCCAGCCUGUUGUCUUCCACCUUGACCCUUGUAGUUCUCCUGCUGACCAUCCUGAGCCUGAUCCUGGCCCAGUGGCCCAGCCAGGUGUUUUCUGGAACGUGCUCACCACAGUGGCUGUGCUGCUGCUGCUGCUCAUCACUGGGGUCACGGCCAUCAUCUGGAGGCAGCCCCAGGACCCCACUGCUCUUCACUUCAGGGAUUUACCAUAUACUUUGGAUAUGGGAUCUGACACAACUUGGAGGAGAACACUGAGCAACACACCAGCCUCCAACUCCCAAUUACUGGACAAAAACAUCCCUGGUGCUGAGUCAUCUUAACCACAGGAGAGAGAUGCUGUGUGGAAUCCCUCCACGCCCUGGAGGAUCUGCUGGUUCGAGGGCACUGUGAGCCUCUAUGGACGUGAAGGUGGAAUGCAUUUACAGCAGUGUAUUUAUUGCUAGUGGACAAAGUGACUUUAAUGCUGCAAAUGCUGAAGGAAACUUUUAAAAGCAUAAUACACAUCCAGAAAAGAGGAUUUUCAUGAAAAAUGUACAAAAAUGUAACCAGAAACCAGAGGAAGAAAUAAAGUAUUAACUUGAACAUAAGCA